AUGGAAUCUGUAAAUUUUUUUUGGGUUUUAAUUUGGGACAUUUGCAUAAAAACUUACCUAAGGCUUACGUCACGGGUCCCUUAAUAACCACAUAAUCCACAUCAGCCACUGCCCCAUAACAAUCCACCCUGUCUUUGGCAAAUUCAUAAGAGGGAGGAGCCACUAACUAGCCUUGAGACUUUGAGACUUCACCUGAUAGAGAAACUGAACAAGAUAAAGGAAUUGACCCAAGCAGUAGCGAGAGCUUUGAGGGUCGCUUCUCGACCCAAGAAAAGAUGAUAACUCCUAGUUUUGCUCCAUCUCCAAGAGAAGUAACUAGGGGAGUUCGUCUGUCCCUUCACUUUUUAUUUAAUUGCUUAUCAUUUAUAACAC
rnacentral:lncRNA from 1 species